rnacentral:rRNA from 1 species
CCCUUAGAUGUUCUGGGCUGCACGCGCGCUACACUGACGUACGCAACGAGUGUCCUUUACCGAGAGGUAUGGGUAAUCAUUUGAGUGUACGUCGUGAUGGGGAUAGAAUAUUGUAAUUAUUACUCUUCAACGAGGAAUUCCUAGUAAGCGCAAGUCAGCAGCUUGCGCUGAUUACGUCCCUGCCCUUUGUACACACCGCCCGUCGCUCCUACCGAUGGGUGAUCCGGUGAAUGAUUCGGACUCGGUUGCCUCUAGCCACUAGUGGCGCUCGAGAAAGUUUUGUGAACCUUAUCACUUGGAGGAAGGAGAAGUCGUAACA